CAUAUAUAUUUUAACUAUUGUUUUUAAAAUUAACUUCCUCCUUGAGUUGUGUUGCUCAAGCCUCUGUGAGGAAGGAUUUGAAUGAGCAGAAGAUGGCUGAACAGCACAGAUAAGCAAGAAGAGGGAAAAUAAAAGUGUUCAUAGCGUAAUGGGCAGCAUAGAAGUGACAAGGCUAGGAGGGAACAUGGGUGACAGAACAGAAGGUUGUUGGUCCA
rnacentral:lncRNA from 1 species